rnacentral:rRNA from 1 species
CGAGCGAACGGACGAGAAGCUUGCUUCUCUGAUGUUAGCGGCGGACGGGUGAGUAACACGUGGAUAACCUACCUAUAAGACUGGGAUAACUUCGGGAAACCGGAGCUAAUACCGGAUAAUAUUUUGAACCGCAUGGUUCAAAAGUAAAAGACGGUCUUGCUGUCACUUAUAGAUGGAUCCGCGCUGCAUUAGCUAGUUGGUAAGGUAACGGCUUACCAAGGCAACGAUGCAUAGCCGACCUGAGAGGGUGAUCGGCCACACUGGAACUGAGACACGGUCCAGACUCCUACGGGAGGCAGCAGUAGGGAAUCUUCCGCAAUGGGCGAAAGCCUGACGGAGCAACGCCGCGUGAGUGAUGAAGGUCUUCGGAUCGUAAAACUCUGUUAUUAGGGAAGAACAUAUGUGUAAGUAACUGUGCACAUCUUGACGGUACCAUAAGAAAAAGCCCCGGCUAACUACGUGCCAGCAGCCGCGGUAAUACGUAGGGGGCUAGCGUUGUCCGGAAUCACUGGGCGUAAAGGGUUCGCAGGCGGAAAUGCAAGUCAGAUGUAAAAGGCAGUAGCUUAACUACUGUAAGCAUUUGAAACUGCAUAUCUUGAGAAGAGUAGAGGUAAGUGGAAUUUUUAGUGUAGCGGUGAAAUGCGUAGAUAUUAAAAAGAAUACCGGUGGCGAAGGCGACUUACUGGGCUCAUUCUGACGCUGAGGAACGAAAGCGUGGGUAGCAAACAGGAUUAGAUACCUGGUAGUCCACGCUGUAAACGAUGAGUGCUAGGUAUCGGAAUAAUUCGGUGCCGCAGUUAACACAUUAAGCACUCCGCCUGG